CUUCUGUGAUGAGUUGCCAUGCUAAUACUGGGACACAGGGUAAGGGAUUUUACCCUGCAUUGUGUGUUACUGAUGUAAAUUCUGCCUGUCAAGUGUACCUAGGGGC
rnacentral:snoRNA from 1 species